UUGGCUCUGUGAGGUCGGCUCA
rnacentral:miRNA from 1 species